ACGGGUGAGUAAUGCGUAGGAAUCUGCCCUAAAGUGGGGGAUAACCCGAGGAAACUCGGGCUAAUACCGCAUAAUCUCUGAGGAGCAAAGUUGGGGACCUUCGGGCCUGAUGCUUUGGGAUGAGCCUACGUCGGAUUAGCUAGUUGGUGGGGUAAAGGCCUACCAAGGCAACGAUCCGUAGCUGGUCUGAGAGGAUGAUCAGCCACACUGGGACUGAGACACGGCCCAGACUCCUACGGGAGGCAGCAGUGGGGAAUAUUGGACAAUGGGCGAAAGCCUGAUCCAGCAAUGCCGCGUGUGUGAAGAAGGCCUUCGGGUUGUAAAGCACUUUUAGCGAGGAGGAAAGGCUUAGAGUUAAUACCUCUAAGAGUUGACGUUACUCGCAGAAAAAGCACCGGCAAACUCUGUGCCAGCAGCCGCGGUAAUACAGAGGGUGCAAGCGUUAAUCGGAAUUACUGGGCGUAAAGCGCGCGUAGGCGGAUAUUUAAGUCGAGUGUGAAAUCCCCGGGCUCAACCUGGGAACUGCAUUCGAUACUGAGUGUCUAGAGUAUGAUAGAGGAAAGUGGAAUUCCCGGUGUA
rnacentral:rRNA from 1 species